GACCGGAAUAUUAAUAGGUAUGUUCUUAAAAUUUAAAGAAUUUGGCGGUAUUUUAGUCUGGUUAGAGGAACCUGUUUCAUAAAUGAUACUACACGUAAUAUCUUACUAAUUUUUGUAUAGUUUGUAUACCGUCAUUAUUAGAUAAUUUUUAUAGAAUAAAUUGUUGAGAUUAGAAAUUUUUAAGUAUAUUAGAUCAAGGUGCAGCUUAUGAAUUAGCGAGAAUGGGUUACAAUGAAAUUUAUUUAUACGAAUUGAUUUUAGAAAAUAAUUAUGAAGGAGGAUUUAAUUGUAAUAGAAAUUUAAUAAGUUUUAAUGAUAUAAGUACUAAAUUAUGUACACAUACGCCCG
rnacentral:rRNA from 1 species